rnacentral:ribozyme from 1 species
GCUGCUGCUGCUGCUGCUGCUGAAGAGGCGGCGAGGAGUAUGCUGCUGCGUUUUUUUCUUCUUCUUCUUGAAGUUGAGGGGAGUAGGAGGGGGUUGGAGGCGCAAGCAAAGCAGGUGGCGGGCGCGGAAGGGA